rnacentral:lncRNA from 1 species
GGCCUUCCAUUGCUGACUGCUUGAAUGCCUGCUUCUCCGCUGGUGAGAGGCUCCUGCUAGAUUUCAGGGUUAGGGCUCCUCUCCCUUUUACAACACCCAGAUUUUCCAUGUCGUAGAACACCUCACAUCAGUACUUCUUAAUUUGUUUGGUUUUAAAAUAUAUUUUUAAUAUUAAUAUUCUAUUAACAUAACCUAGAGUGCUUUUUUACAUGGUUUAUCUUUUCUAUUUAACUUCAUUUUUUUCUAGUUGUUCACAUUUUUGUUGUUGUUUUAAUGGGAGGUGUGGAUGUGCAGGAGUAUGCAGGCGCCCGAGGAGGCUGGGUGUGUCAGAUCUCCUGGAGCUGGAGUUUCAGGCACAUGGGAGUCAUCUGAUGUAGGAGCUGAGAACCUGGCCUGGGCACUGUAGGAGAGCAGGGAGUGCUCCUAACAACCCGUCAUCUUUCCAGCCCCUGUUUUAACUUAUGUAAAUUAGAUUCAUCUCUUAGGAUCACAUUUAAUUCAUCCUGACUGUUGGAUGUUAUGUUAUGUUAUGUGUUUGUCUCUGUGUACGUGCACAUAUGCAUGCUACAUGUGUGUGGUCCCCAAAAAAGGCCAGAAUAGAACAUCAGAUUCCCUGGUGCCAGAGCUGUGAACCUCCUCAGCCCCCUGGAAAGUCAGCCCUGUAGAGACAGGAAGCACUUUUAACCACCAAGCCAUCUCUACCCCAGGGUUGGGGGUUGUGCUUUGUUGCAUUUUGUGCUUUAAUGGUGUAGUUUGCGUUUGUUCCUUUUCCUGGUAAACUAGUCCAUCUUUAUUUUAGACUCUUCUUUAUCCUCUUACCAUCUCUGAGGUGGAAUAGGUACAUUUCUCAUUUCUCAUCCCCUUUGCCUUUCUAGGUGAAAAGUUAGAUCAUGCCACUUGUAGUAAAUACCUUGGAGAUUUUAACAUUUGUACCAAGCCUGCUUUUCCUGAAAAACCCAAGCAUUUUAAAAGCAAUGUUCUUGCUUAUCCUGGUUUUAUGAUGCUGUAGAUUAUAUUUCUGUGUUGUUUGGUAGUUUUGUAAGUUCAUUACUGUCUUCUUACCUACUGUUUUCAGUAUGGAGAAGACUAGUACCCAUUCUUAUCAGGAUUUUCUUCAAGGAAACUGAAUUUUAGCCCUUUGGUCCAGG